rnacentral:rRNA from 1 species
UACGUAGGGGGCAAGCGUUGUCCGGAAUCAUUGGGCGUAAAGCGCGUGUAGGCGGCUCGGUAAGUCUGCUGUGAAAGUCCAGGGCUCAACCCUGGGAUGCCGGUGGAUACUGUCGAGCUCGAGUCCGGAAGAGGCGAGUGGAAUUCCUGGUGUAGCGGUGAAAUGCGCAGAUAUCAGGAAGAACACCCGUGGCGAAGGCGGCUCUCUGGACGAUUACUGACGCUGAGGCGCGAAAGCGUGGGGAGCAAACAGG